AGUGAACGCUGGCGGUAGGCCUAACACAUGCAAGUCGAACGGCAGCACAGGAGAGCUUGCUCUCUGGGUGGCGAGUGGCGGACGGGUGAGGAAUACAUCGGAAUCUACUCUGUCGUGGGGGAUAAGGUAUGGAAACUUACGCUAAUACCGCAUACGACCUACGGGUGAAAGCAGGGGACCUUCGGGCCUUGCGCGAUUGAAUGAGCCGAUGUCGGAUUAGCUAGUUGGCGGGGUAAAGGCCCACCAAGGCGACGAGCCGUAGCUGGUCUGAGAGGAUGAUCAGCCACACUGGAACUGAGACACGGUCCAGACUCCUACGGGAGGCAGCAGUGGGGAAUAUUGGACAAUGGGCGCAAGCCUGAUCCAGCCAUACCGCGUGGGUGAAGAAGGCCUUCGGGUUGUAAAGCCCUUUUGUUGGGAAAGAAAUCCAGCUGGUUAAUACCCGGUUGGGAUGACGGUACCCAAAGAAUAAGCACCAGCUAACUUCGUGCCAGCAGCCGCCGUAA
rnacentral:rRNA from 1 species